UCUGCGAUUCAAUAGAGAAGAAAACCUAUCGCUGCUACAGAUGAAGAUCAAUAUCCAUGAGAUUAAGUACCGAAUUUCAAUAGAAGUUUUCUUCUCUAUUGAAUCGCAGAACUGAACUGCUUCAACUACACAAGAACAACUACACGAGUGAUUUUAUGGUCAGAUUGAUCUUCACUUAACAAAUUGGGGUUUUGAUUUUCUUUUUCAGUACAAUGCAUAAAAAGAAAGAUUCCAUCAAUCCAGAAUCUCGAUACACUGAGUACAGUACAGGACUGCUAGAGUGACGUUGGUUUCAGAAUGGGACAAUGAUGUGACCCCCUAGCUAAUUUGGGUAUAGGGUUCACAUUGUUGUGUUCAUCGAAGUGUAAAGCUGCAGAAAUAAGCCAUUUGAACUCUUUGCUAUUUCUUACAUGGCUGUGCAGUUCCACCAUGUUUGUGGUGCUUGGGAAGCUGACCGGAUUUUGAAGUAGCAGAAAAAAGAAGAAGAAGCUCCUCUUCCUGUUUAGUAGUGAGAACUAAUAAUCAAAUGUCAACGGUUCUGAGUCAUUUUGGAGUCGGGAAAUCAGAUGAGCAGUUCGCUAGCUAGAUCGUGCUUUGUUUACUGAGAAAACACCAUUUUUAGACGAGAUGGUAAUAUACAAUUCCUUAGUGUUGGGUUCAUGGCUGAAAGAGGAGCAUUACUUCUCGUCAACGGUGAUGAUAAGAUAUGUAUAAGAUGCUUGCAGAGAGAAAGAACGGGUGAUAUUCUUUCCAGGUUUACAAGCACUUGCAGUCACCCGGAUAUAUUGUUGGUCAUCAUGGUGUUAAGUGGAUCUUGAAGAGUAUAUGGGUAUCCUGGUGAAUUCAAGCACUUCUAAACUGGAAGAAUGGCACGCACUGUGUUGGGGAUUCAAAAGACAGCAGUGGAAUAAUAUCAGUGACCGAAUUGGAAAAGGGAUUCUGCGUUGCUGAUGGUCUCACAAAAAUGCAUAUGAACAAUGAAGCAAAACCAGUGUUCGAACCAGAUUUCGUAGCAAGGCAUUAGCAUAAAUGUGUUCUUUAUUGCAACUCUAUGCUGUGUCCUUUUCUUUUGUAUCUUUCUUCGGUCAUCACCAUAAGCAUUAUCACAUACUCGGGUCGGUUCAUUUUUGUAUUGAAAGAUAAAGUUGCUUCUCUUA